rnacentral:lncRNA from 1 species
CCACAAAUAACUUAACCUAUAAGGUCAUCUUUAAUUUUUAAAAAAUUAAUUAUUCAUAAUGAACAACUAUUUUUAUUUUUCUCUAUUUAAUCAAAAUUAAUCUAGAAGUGUUUGUGUACUUUGACACUCAUAUAAAAUAGGGGGUUUAUAAAGCAAAAAAAUUGCUAGUUGUUUGCAUCAACACUUAAUUAAUCUAAUUGGACAUUAUUAAAGGUUUUAUUCUAAAAAGAUAUAACUAAGUACAAACUUUUUUGCCACUAGGCCCAACCCAUCAUGCGAGGAACUUAUAAUUACCUAGAACACAUUAGUAUCCGGUUUGAGCAUAGUAAAACCCUAAUCUAAGUAGCAGCCCGCCUCUCCACAUCCCCCCCCUAAUCUAAGUAGCAGCCCGCCUCUCCACAUCCCUUCCCAUCAUCUUGGUUCCAUCUCACCCUAUUCUAGGUAUCACUGAGUCCUCUCCAGAUCUCUUUGUUGAGCCCUCUCUGGUGCUGAGCCCUCUUUGGAUCUCUUCUGAUCUCAUGGAUUACUCCAGAUCUCUUUGGUAAGCCCUCUGUGGAUGUGGAUCUCUUCUGAUCUCAUGGGUGGCACGCUUGGUAAACAUGUCUGUUAGUGGUUUUUCAUUUCGGUAGCUAGAUUUGACCUUUGGUGCAUCUUUUGCUUAAUGAUUGUAUAUUUAGGCUAUACAUAUAUGAUGAAUUUUUGUGAUCUCUAUUCCUCAUAUAUUUCAUAUAAGACCUUCAAUUUAUUGAAUUUUGAUUUUAAUGUAUUGUAUUCAUAAAUUGAUGAAUUUAUUAUGAAAUAUUUGUUUGAUUCUCAUUUAAAUGAAAAAAAUCAGUAAAAGAAUAUGAAUAAUGAUUCUUUGCAUCAUUAUACACUAUCCAAAACUGCAAUAGUUGUGAAAACUUUUUAUUUUUAUGUCCACUAUGCAAGCAAAAUAGAUCACAUAAGUGAAUAAGUAGUCUAUGAAUGUGUUAUAUAUAUAGUGUAUUUAAUAAUUUUUCACUUAUUUUUAUUGUGUUGAAUCUUUGUGCUAUUACAUUUGAAUAUUGCACCUUCAACAUUUUAAUAUACACGUGGCUAAUUAUUUUUUUGCAGCAACUCUCCUCAUAUAGGUGAUGAUAAACAAUGAAGAAAAUGCUCCAGUAUUCUCUAAAUUAAUUAUAUUCUCCAGGUAGUAUAACAUAAACUUUUAGUUAUAACAUUACAACAGUAAUAUAUUUUUCGUACCUUAAUUAAUAGUAUUCAUACUUUGUUGUGUAGAUUUAUUAAGAUAUUAUAGUUAGGUACACCGUAUAUGUGGCUCGGAGAAGUUAACUAAACAGUAAAUAUAUAGGAUUAAGAUAACACAACUACUCAACUUUGAAGAUAUAAAAGUUUAGUAAGGUUAUAAUUAAAUCUGAAUGAAACUAUCUAAUUAAGCAAUGACAGGACUUGGAGAUGAUUAGAAAAUAUUUUACAUAGGUAAUUCAAAAGGUAAUCUAAGUUCGAACAUAAAUUAAAAUCUGAGCACUUGCAACAAAGCUAGACAGCUUAAACAGGUAUUGUUGUCUUGUUUAUGAAGGUGUUACGGAAUGAGACUAUCCUGAUAGAUCAGGAUUUGAAGCCUGAAUCCUGAAAAAUUUUAUCAAAAGAAAAUGCUCCUAGUUGCAUUUUAAGAUUCGAGCUCACUUACGGAGAAUCUUCUCUUAAACAUUCACUUCUUUCCUGAACUAGGUUUUGAGGUUUAAACCAUGCAGUUAAGACAUAAUAUAAGAGGUGCGAAUGAAGUUUCUUCAUGCCACCUGUUCAGUGAUCUUCUUUAGUGGAAAAAUAUUGUUCUUAGUAUGUCAUAUAAUUAAAAAGGAAUUUUUACGGCAGUGACUUACUUUUUAUUAGAAAUUGUUCUUUAGUUUUGUCUUCUAGGUACAUUUAAGUUUUAACCCCAGGUUGAACUUGGUAGUAACGUGUUAUAAUGUACUACCCUUUGGUAGAAGAUGAUGUCUUUAUUUCUUAUCGUAUAGAUAGUUUUGCUUUCUGUUUAACUCUGGACCGUAUGUAGAAUUUACUUUUGGGGUCAUGUCUAGUUUAUGUGUACUCGUAGGAUACAUUUUUUGGGUAGAUUGCAAAACCCUGAAGGACGAACAAUUUAUAAGCAUCACUGUUAUAGUAGCAACUGAAGGAUACAAUUAAUAUUGUUAGAAGGAAAAUGGGAAGACCAAAUUAAGAAGUACAAGAAACAGAUUGGUUCGGUGAAAGAUAUUUUACCAGCACACACACAUAUAGAAUUAAAGAUAUUUUAGACGAAAUAUUUUUCUGUACGUAGGUAAGAGAAGCACAAGAGGUAAUGUGGAUAUGAAAGUGAAAUCCAGUGCAGAGAACAACUUUGUAACAACUGUUGCUGAAAUACCCAAAAAAGGUGAUUUUCAGCCUACUAUACCUAGCAAGGAACCUGGGAGACAUGUGUAUAAGAGAAGUAAAGUUCAUCAGCAGAAUGGUGUGCAAGUCAAAACUCAUGACAGUGAAUGACACUAUCAAGGUAUGUGCUGGAACUUAUUUCAUAUUAGAUAUGUCAAGUAAUUAUUUAGCUGAAGACCAUUCUUUGCAUGUGAUUUUUUAUGCGCUUUUUAAUUGCUGGAAGAUGUUGAGGAAAAAUAUAUCUGUAACUACUAUAAUAGUCUAUUUGCUCCAGUUUAUUUUGUGGCAGUUAGAUUAACCAUUAUCAAUAAUUCAUUUCAUGAUUUUCAGCUUUUCUAUUUGUAUUUUACGGCUAUGAAAAUUCUACUACUGCUAUUGUAUUGGUAACAGAAAGUUUUGUUAUUUUUUGAAGUAGUUCUGUCUGUAAACAGACAAGAUGAUUCCGAAACUCCUCCAUUUAAUCAAGAGAAUGCAAUGGAGUCCGCUCCACUUCAGAAAAAGGAUGGUCCGGGUAAGCUCAUUGACUGAACUAUAAUUGUGAUAUUAUGAUCUGGAAUCUUGUUAUGUUAUCCAUGAAAUUUACCUGUUAAAAAUCUCAAUCAACAUGCUGCAUCAAUUGAUAUAGGUGGUGGAGUUGGAACCCCUGCCAUUGUAGGCAUUGAUGCUAUGGAGAACGAACAGAGUUUGCCAUUUGUUAAGAAUCCUCUACUUUGUGAAGAUAUCCAUUCUAUGGAAACCUAUAAGAAAAUGACACAGAAGCCACACUUCGCUCCACUGUACGAACAUAUAGAAGAAGAACGUGAAGGCUUGGCAGUAGUGUUGGAAACGUGAUGGGUUUAGGCUUUAUCAACUUUGUAAAUUCAAAAUACACACGCCUGUAUAAUAAAACAAACAACACAAAUUUUAUUUCAUAAACUUAAAGCUACAGCUUGAUUAGGGCUUCGGCUCUUUGUUUUUUUUUUUUUUUUUUCUGGUUUUCAAACUCAGUACUAUAUAUUGAACACAAGCAGAACCUCUAUUUAUAGGCCACACAUACAUGCUAACUGAUCUCAUUCCUUACAUCAUUACCCAGCUGUAUAAAUUAAUGUAGCCACCUUAAUUCACGGGGACAGCAACUCUUCUUCAUUCCAUCUACGCGGUUUUAUUAAUACAAAUCAGACUUGCAUGUUGACAACCCACAAAUUAAACAAGCUGCUGCAUCACCAUCUUAUCACAUGCUUCUAACCUUUCCAGAUUAUUGCUUUCCCCGUAUAUUCUUUUACACACACGUCUUUGACUUUCUCCUUGCAUGCAUGCAGAUAAUGUAGCAUUUAUACGGCCCACCAUAUUUUCAGGAUGUUGUAGCUGUUUCAUUUACUGUCUUGAGAGAGUUUAAUUUCUAACACUCCCCUUCAAACUCGACUUUCUAUCCCGAGCUUCUUUUUCAUUUUAUGAAAUACAUUCGGCUUCAAUGGCUUCGUAAAAAUAUUUGCUAAAUUUUCUUCCGUCAUGUAGUGCACUAACUCCACAAUUUUUUCGUUUACUUGUUCACGAAGAAAAUGAUAUUUAAUAUUGAUGUGCUUGCUUCGACUGUGUGACACCAAAUUUUUCCCUAGUGAAAUAGCAGAAUUAUUAUCCACGUAAAUUGUAACAGGUUCUUUCUUGACAAGAUUUAACUCGCCCAAAAUAUAGCCUAGCCACAUAGCUCUACACGCGCAUGCUGCUGCUGCUGUGAUGUAUUCCGCCUCACAUGUGGAGAGAGCGACUGUCUGUUGCUUCUUUGAUGACCAUGAGAAUAUUGUCGAGCCAAUAUGAAAAGCAUAUCCUGAUGUGCUUUUUUAGUCAUCCAAGUCUCCACCAUAAUCACAGUUUGAGUAGCCAACUAAUUUUGAAUCUUGAGAAUGCGUGUAAAACAAACCAUUAUUAAGUGUACCUUUAAUAUAUAUCAAAAUUCUUUUAGCCGCCAUGAAAUGAUCUUGCUUCGGGAUCUCCAUGUACCUACUAACCAGUCCAAUCGCAUACAUGAUAUCUGGAAGAGUAAAAGUUAGGUACCUCAAACUUUCAACCAAACUUUUGAACAAUGUCGGAUGUACCGACUCCCUGGUUGAAUCAAUUCUGAGCUUUAUGCUUGCUUCCGCUGGCGUGCUCAAUGGCUUGCAUUCUUCCAUUUUGAAUUUCUUUAAAAUCUGCUCCGCAUAUUUUUUCUGAGACAUAAAAAUUCCAUCUUUGCUUUGCUUCACCUCGACUCCAAGAAAGUAUGACAUUUGUCCAAUAUCUGUCAUCUCAAAUUCGCUAGUCAUAACUUUCUUAAAAUCAUCAAACAUACCAGGGUCGUUGUUUCCGGUAAAUAUCAUGUCGUCCACAUAUAAGCAAACUAUCAUAAUAUCUCCCCUUGAAAUAGUUUUCGUGUAGAGAGCAUGCUCGUAUGGACUCUUCACAAAACCAUUCUUCUGAAAAUACUCAUCAACCCUUGUGUUCCAUGCUCUCGGUGCCUGUUUUAGGCCGUACAAUGCCUUCUUUAGCCAGUAGACUUUAUCUUCCUCGCCUUUCUGAACAUACCCUAAAGGUUGCUCGAUGUAAAUUUCUUCUUCGAGAUAACCAUUUAAAAAUGUUGACUUCACAUCCAUUUGAAAAAUCUUCCAUUCAUUUUGAGCGGCAAUUGAUGUAAGAAGUCUAAUGGUGUCAACUCGUGCAACUGGAGCAAACACCUCAUCAUAGUCAAUGCCAUAUUGCUGCUUGUAGCCUUUAGCCACUAGCCUCGCCUUGUAUUUUUCUACUUCUCCAUCCUGAUUCGUCUUGGUCUUGUAGACCCAUUUGACACCAAUUGCUCUGUGUCCGUCUAGAAGAUCUGUGAGCUCCCAAGUAUCAUUCUUCUUGAUUGCACCAAUUUCUUCGUCCAUGGCUUUGUUCCAUAUGCUUUCUUCAGAAGCUUCCUCAAAUGUAACUGGAUCACAUUCAGCCAUUAGACAAAAUAAGGAAUAAUCAAAGGUUGUUCGUACCGGACUCAUUGCUUCAUAGAUAUUAUCCAGACUCCGCAUUUUUCUUGGUGUUCCCCCUUAACUUCUGCUUCCACUUGAAUCCGAUGGUGUUGAUGCGGGAGUUUGUUGACUCGGACUUUGUGGAGGAGUUUGAUCAUCAUCAUCGUCACCUUCUAUGUUGGGGUUGUCAUUGCCAUCAUCAUCAUCAUUGAAAAAUAACCCAGCAACUUUUCUUUCCUCCUCGCUCCAUUUCUAAUAAUUUGAUUCAUCGAACUCAACAUCUCGAGAAAUUAUUAAUUUCUUCGUGAGGGGAUUAUAGAGCCUGUACGCCUUGCUCCUUUUCUCAUAUCCGGUAAAUAUGCACUUCUCGCCUUUAUCAUCCAACUUCUUUCUUUUCUGUUCAGGAACAUGGGCAUAUGCAAUACACCCAAAAAUUCUGAGAUGUCCCACAGAUGGUUUGCUUCCACUCCAUGCUUCAUUUGGAGUUUUGUUUCUGACACUUUUUGUUGGACAGCGAUUCAACAAAUAAACUACACAUAAAACAGCUUCAGCCCAAAAGGUUCUCGGCAAGUGCUUUGCUUUCACCAUGCUCCUUGCCAUGUCAAGAAUAGUGCGAUUCUUUCUUUCUGCAACACCAUUUUGUUGAGGAAUAUAGGCUAUUGUCAACUGAUGAUUGAUUCCAUGUGCUCUGCAAAUACUUCUGAACAGAUUAGAAGUAUACUCGCCUCCUCUGUCUGAUCUGAGUACCUUCAAAUAAUGACCACUUUGCUUUUCUGCCAGUGCUUUGAACUCCUUGAAUUUAUGAAGAGCCUCCGACUUUUCUUUGAUGAUAUACACCCAACUUUUCCUGCUAAAAUCAUCAAUAAAUGUUAGGUAAUACCUAUUACCUCCAAGUGAUGAGAUAUCAAAUGGACCAGCAAUAUCUGUGUGAACUAUCUCCAAUGGCCUCCUGGCUCUCCAUGAUUUUCCAACGGGAAAACUUUGCCGAUGUUGCUUCCCUUUUACACACGCUUCACACAAAUUUUCUGGUUUGUUGAUUUCUGGCAAACAGUCCACCAUUUUUGUCUUUGACAAUAAUUUCAAGCCAAAAAAUCCAAGAUGGCCAUAUCUCAAAUGCCACAACCACGAGUCAUUUUUAAUGACUGACUUUUCCAAUCACCAUUCUCCUACCAUCUUUCUUCUUAAAUUCAAUUCCAAUCGAAACCCCCUUGAUUCUCUCCCUAUGCGGUGUCGCUGCUUGAGCGGACUCCACCACCAACCGUCGCUGCACUAAUCCCCACACACGCACAACCCACUGUAAAUUACUCUAAUAUCGGCUCAGAUAUGCAAAAUUCGCCAGUGGUGAUUUUUUAUUACACAACAGGUGAUUUUCUAUUGUUUUUUGUUGAUUCGUAUUGAUUUUUGUUGAGUUUGACUUCUUCCUGGUGAUUAUGUGGCGGUGGUUGUGUGAAUAUGGUGGUGGCGGGGGAGGCGGGUGCGACGAUUAAUGGUGGUUGUGGGGGAUUUUGUUUGGUUGUGGUGAUUUCUACUGAGAUCUGGUGAUUUCUGCAUGGAGAUGGUGAUUUUUAAGUGGUGGUUGGUGACGUUGGGAAGUGUGGUGACCAAAGGAGGAGGUGGUGCUGUGGUUUUCUUCUGGUGAUUUUCUGCUCAUAGUGGUGAUUUUUGACUUCUGGUGGCCGGAGGUGGAGGUUGCCGAUUGAUGGAGGUGAUGGUCGGAAUAAGAAGAUGAUGAUGGUAGGUGAUGAUGAUGUGGGUAACAAUAAUGAGAGGUGAUGGAUGUAGAUGGUAUUUUUGAAUGAGUGGUUAUUAGGAUUAGAUCUCAUAUCUCAUGUUACUAUUGGUUUUCAUUGGAGCAAGUCUCUCUCUCUUUCUAUAUAUAUAUAUAUAUAUAUAUAACAAAGUUGCGCUUUGAACAUAUAUAUAUAUGUAUAUAGAAAGUCAAACCAUGCGACAGUCAAUUCUUGCGCCUCACAAUGUCUUCAUAGCAGCCACUGUAGUUAUAGUACUUGGAGAAAAUCCAAGUAACCAAGGUUGCGCCUGGGAGAGUAUAUGUGUGGCGCCAACUUUGACUUCGAGUCAAAAGUUGCGCCUCACAGGGCAUCAGUAUGUUACUUAGAGUAUGAUGCAUAAAUUUUAAUUUUAAUCUAGAAUACUAAUCAUAAUAACAGACACAAAUAAUUUAACACAUACAAUCUAAGUAAAAUAAUUGAUUUUAAAUUUGGUUAUACUGUAUAGGCACUUUGGAUGAAUAACUAGUUUCAAUAUUAUGAUUAAAUUUCAACAUUUUUUUGGAGGAAAAAUUAUGAAACUUCAGUUAUUUUUUCAUAUACUAACUAUAUAUUUGAUGAAUAAUGAGAUUGAUACAUGAAUUUUAUGUGUAUAUAUAAGUGUUCUUCAUUAGACUCUAUAUAUUGUGAUUCUCUGUACAUUGACUGUCUCUCUCUAUAUAUAGUGUGUGUGUGUGUGUAUAUAUAUAUAUAUAGGCUCUUGCUCAAAUGAGAACCACAUAUUUUAAAUUUCUAUUUUAUCUUUCAUCUCUUUCAUCCACCUCUCUACCCACCCCCAACCACCAUCCACCACACCCACACCCAACCACCACCACCACCCACCACCCACCACCAUCACCACCACGACGCACCAACACCACACACCAGCUCCAAUCCGAACAUUAGAUCUACUCAUAUCUCUCUCUAGCGCUGCAGUAGCGCGGCCUUCCGCCGACCUCUGCCAUGGCGGUCGCCGCCGACAUCUCUGUCACAUCACGCUGCAGCCGACGUCUCCGCACGUCGCCAAUCGCGGCUCGGCUUCCUUCGCCGUCGUCUCAAGCCGCAAGAAGAGAAUACGGAGGAGGAUAGAUCUGAGGUUUGGAAGGAGAUCGUGAACCAACCACUAGUGACUAGUGGUGUGUUCGCCGGAGAUGCUGCUCUUGGUGGUGUGAUGAGUGGCGGUGUGAUUGUGUAUCCGGUUGCUUAUGUGGUGAUUUUUCUUUUUACGGUGGUGAUUUUAUUUUGUAUUUGGUGAUUUUUCAGAUUUGUGGGUAGCGGUGGUGGUUUUUAGAUGGUGGCAGUGUGGUGAUUUUAAUUUUCUGGUGUUGAUUUUUGGUUUUCUGACGGUGAUUUUUAGUAUUCCGGUGGUGAUUUUAUAUUUUACGGUGAUGAUUUUAUUUUUGUCGGUGGUGAUUUUCUGGUGGUCGCCGGAGGUGGUGGUGGUGGUCAACGGUGGUUGAAGGUGAUAGGUAGUUGAAUUAGAAGAUGAUAAAAUAUUAAAAUAUUAAAUGAAUGGUGAGAGAUGAAUAUAAUGUAUUUAAAUGAGUGGCUGAGAUUAGAUCUCAUAUCUCACCAUAAGAAGAGUUCUCAUUUGAGCAAGACCCUAUAUAUAUAUAUAUCUUUCUCCUUGAAACCCANUACAAACCUAAAAACCACUAUAAUUCCACUCCAAUUUUUGCUAUGAGCACUUCAUUUUAUUUUAUUUUUUUUAUUUUCUGGGGGAACACACGUUGACGUGGCAGGUGCCACGUCAGCACUUGCUGACGUGGCAGAUGACGUGGCAGGCGGGGGGUGGCCCUCGCUGCUGACAUGGCAGGGUGAGGUGGACUCCAGUGCUGACGUGGCAGGGGUAGAAAGUGUAAGUUUUGGAACGUUGAUGGCAAAACUAGGGGGGAUAUUGUUAGUUUUUAAAAGUUUGAGGAGAUAUUUGUUAAUUUUGAAACCAGUUUUUAGGUUUUUAUGCUAAGUGUGGUUUGUAUUUGAUCAUCUCCAUAUAUCGUUUGUGACAACUGUGACAACAAUUGUUCAACACUUCUUAUAAAGUGCAGAAUAAUUCUUUUGGAAAAUUUUCACUUCUUGAAUGGUUUAUUAUUCUACAACAGAACAAUAGAUUUUCACUGUUGUUACGCUAAAAACUAUUCUCCAUUGAGCACCACAAUAUAUAUAUAUAUAUAUAUAGACACACACACACGGAUUAUCUAGUGUGUGCCCAUGGGCACACACUAACAACCACUUUUUAAGUAGGUAGACACACACACACGGAUUAUCUAGUGUGUGCCCAUGGGCACACACUAACAACCACUUUUUAAGUAGGUGGAGCAUUUCUAUUGGCUAAAACUCAUUAAUAAUCAUGGCCCCCUGCAUAUGCACAAAAAUCAUGACCAGUAAAAAUCCUCCACCUCAACAAAAAGUAGUUGUUAGUGUGUACCCAUGGGCACACACUGGAAAGACCUAUAUAUAAAACACACACACACACACACAUAGGGUCCUACUCCAAAAGAAACUACCAAAAUAUAAACUAAAUAGAAACCAAUACGAUUAACUAGAAUGAUGCGGGUUUUCGGAAUGAGGAUGGACCCCGAGAUGGGCCUAAACAGGGUCUAAGUGGAGCCUAAUAGGGCUAGGUCGGGGCCUAGUGGGACCGUGGUGGAGACAAGAUUUGGCUCUUUAAGACUGCCCGGAGCUUGUCCAGGGCAUGUGAGGAUCCUUGGCGAGGCCCCAACGGGCCCGCGGUGGAUUGAGUUAGAGUGAGGGUGGGCCUAGGUGGGUGAUGACAUAUAGGGGUGGGUGUUGACAUAUAGGGUUGGGUGAGGUCAUUUAGGUAUAGUUUCUCUUGGUUUCCAUUUUAGUUUUUAUUUUAGUGGGUUCUAUUUGAGCAAUUGCCUAUAUACAUAGAUACAUACAUACGUGUGUGUAUAUAUAUAUUUAUAUAUAUAUAUAUAUAAGCUCAUGAUAAAAUACAAACCAAUCUUAAAAUAAAAACUAAAAACCAUUAUUAAAACUCCUUAAAUUACUAAAGGCACUCAUCUACACUAAUUACAACCCAGCAUAGCAAACCCCCACCCAAAUCUGCUAAGAUCUUUCCCCUCAUUCCAUGUCGCCACUACUUUACCCAUAUGUCUCUCACCAACCCCAUUUUUUCUCUCUCUUCUUUCAACUCCGCACAUCCGCCAUCACUAUCCACUGCCUCACUACUGCUCCUGACUUCACCAUCACCAUUAUUACCUCUGCCCAACCUCUCCCCACCAUCACCAUCUUCAUCCUUGCUUCGCCAUCACCAUCUUCAUCCUUUCCCUGCCAUCACCAUCUUCUUCCUUUUCCCAUCAUGACUAUCUCUCUCAUCUAUGUCCCCCUUCCUCGAUCUUUUUCGAACAAUCUUUCUCUCAAGAAUGAUUAGAGCUCAGUCAUGGAUUUUAACGUUGUUAAAAUUCUGAUAUAGCUGUUAAUAUAUUUAUAAAAAUCGAUGAUUUCUUCCGUACAAAUUAGUGAUAUUCGCUUUAGAAAAUAAUGAUAUACAUUGUUAAAAUUAGUGAUAUUUGGUUUGGAAAGUUGUGAUUUGUGUUACAAAAAUUAGUGAUUCCUUUUAAUAAGUUAGAGAUUUGUAUCUAGUGUUACUGAUGAUUAUUGGAGAUAGCUCGGAUAUGUUAAUAAUCUAAUUGUGAUGUGAGAUGAAUGGAAAGUGACGAUGUACAGGAUGUCAUGGCACCUUGAAGAUGAAGAAGAUGAACUAUAGUGCGUGUUUAUUUGUUUUGUGUGUAUAGGAUGUGUAUAUUAGGGUGUAAUUAGAAAAGGUGGGCGGCUGUUCAAAAAUUAGUGGGUCGGGUUGUAAUUUGUUUGGGUUGGGCUGCAGUUUGCAGUUUGUAGAAUAGAUGGUUUGUAGUGGAACAAGACUGACUAUAUAUAUAUAUAUAUAUAUAUAUAUAUAUAUAUAUAUAUAUAUAUAUAUAGAGAGGCCCAAGUACAAACCAAUAUUAAAGUGAAAAUUACAUAUAUAAUAAUCCCUAGAAGUCACCAUCAUGUCUUAAGAAAUCACACAUAAUCCCCCGUGUUUCAAAUUUGAUCCUUCCCUCAGUGAUUUUUUAUUUUUGAAAUAUGAUUUUAUUCUAUUUUUUUCUUCUCCCAACCUUUAAUGUGCAUACCAUAUGUGCUAUAUUUGGAUAUGAUUUAGAAUUUUUUUUUAUAUAACUUCUAGUUUUUUAUUUUAUGAAGGUUUAUAGUUAAGUAUUACAAACACACACACACACACACAUAUAUAUACUUUAAUUUAAUUAGUAAAAGACUUUUUUUAUGUAGUGAACAUUAUGUAUUAGUAAUUAUUGAGAAACUUGUUAUUAUAUUUUAUAAGAACUUAAUUUCUAAAAUGAAAGUUUUCAAAAAUUGAAUAAAUUAUAAUUUAAAUGAUAAACUUUCUACAAUAUAAUUUAUUUGUAUCUCAAAAAUAGUAACAUAAUAUUAGUAACCACAACUAACUUAACCUAUAAGGUUAUCUUUAAUUUUUAAAAAAUUAAUUAUUCAUAAUGAACAAAUAUUUUUAUUUUUCUCUAUUUAAUCAAAAUUAAUCUAGAAGUGUUUGUGUACUUUGACACUUAUAUAAAAUAGGUGGUUUAUAAAGCAAAAAAAUUGCUAGUUGUUUGCAUCAACACUUAAUUAAUCUAAUUGGACAUUAUUAAGGGUUUUAUUCUAAAAAGAUAUAACUAAGUACAAACGUUUUUGCCACUAGGCCCAGCCCAUCAUGUGAGGAACUUAUAAUUACCUUGAACACAUUAGUAUCCGAUUUGUGCAUAGUAAACCCCUAAUCUAAGUAGCAGCCCGCCUCUCCACAUCCCUUCCCAUCAUCUUGGUUCCAUCUCACCCUAAUCUAGGUAUCACUGAGUCCUCUCCAGAUCUCUUUGCUGAGCCCUCUCCUCUCCAGAUCUCUUUGCUGAGCCCUCUCUGGAUCUCUUCUGAUCUCAUGGGUUACUCCAGAUCUCUUUGGUGAGCCCUCUGUGGAUGUGGAUCUCUUCUGAUCUCAUGGGUGGCAGGCUUGGUAAACAUGUCUGUUAGUGGUUUUUCAUUUCAGUAGCUAGAUUUGAGCUUUGGUGUAUCUUUUGCUUAAUUAAUGAUUGUAUAUUUAGGCUAUACAUAUAUGAUGAAUUUGUUGUGAUCUCUAUUCCUCAUAUAUUUCAUAUAAGACCUUCAUUUAAUUGAUUUUUAAUUUUAAUGUAUUAUAUUCAUAAAUUGAUGAAUUUAUUAUGAAAUAUUUGUUUGAUUCUUAUUUAAAUGAAAAAAAUCAGUAAAAGAAUAUGAAUAAUGAUUCUUUGCAUCAUUAUACACUAUCCAAAACUGCAAUAGUAGUGAAAACUUUUUAUUUUUAUGUCCACUAUGCAAGCAAAAUAGAUCACAUAAGUGAAUAAGGAGUCUAUGAAUGUGUUAUAUAUAUAGUGUAUUUAAUAAUUUUUCACUUAUUUUUAUUGUGUUGAAUCUUUGUGCUAUUACAUUUGAAUAUUGCACCUUCAACAUUUUAAUAUACACGUGGCUAAUUAUUUUUUUGCAGCAACUCUCCACAUAUAGGUGAUGAUAAACAAUGAAGAAAAUGCUCCAGUAUUCUCUAAAUUAAUUAUAUUCUCCAGGUAGUAUAACAUAAACUUUUAGUUAUAACAUUACAAUAAUAAUAUAUUUCUUUGUACCUUAAUUAAUAGUAUUCAUACUUUGUUGUGUAGAUUUAUUAAGAUAUUAUAGUUAGGUACACCGUAUAUGUGGCUUGGAGAAGUUAACUAAACAGUAAAUUCAUAGGAUUAAGAUAACACAACUACUCAACUUUGAAGAUAUAAAAAUUUAAUAAGGUUAUAAUUAAAUCUGAAUGAAACUUUCUAAUUAAGCAAUGACAGGACUUGGAGAUGAUUAGAAAAUAUUUUACAUAGGUAAUUCAAAAGGUAAUCUAAGUUCAACAGAAAUUAAAAUCUGAGCACUUGCAACAAAGCUAGACAGCUUAAACAGGUAUUGUUGUCUUGUUUAUGAAGGUGUUACGGAAUGAGACUAUCCUGAUAGAUCAGGAUUUGAAGCCUGAAUCCUGAGAAAUUUUAUCAAAAGAAAAUGCUCCUAAUUGCAUUUUAAGAUUCGAGCUCACUUACGGAGAAUCUUCUCUUAAACAUUCACUUCUUUCCUGAACUAGGUUUUGAGGUUUUAACCAUGUUAAGAAUAUAAGAGGUGCGAAUGAAGUUUCUUCUUGCCACCUUUUCAGUGAUCUUCUUUAGCGGAAAAAUAUUGUUCUUAGUAUGUCAUAUAAUUAAAAAGGAAUUUUUACGGCAGUGACUUACUUUUUAUUAGAAAUUGUUCUUUAGUUUUGUCUUCUAGGUACAUUUAAGUUUUAACCCCAGGUUGAACUUGGUAGUAACGUGUUAUAAUGUACUACCCUUUGGUAGAAGAUGAUGUCUUUAUUUCUUAUCGUAUAGAUAGUUUUGCUUUCUGUUUAACUCUGGACCGUAUGUAGAAUUUACUUUUGGGGUCAUGUCUAGUUUAUGUGUACUCGUAGGAUACAUUUUUUGGGUAGAUUGCAAAACCCUGAAGGACGAACAAUUUAUAAGCAUCACUGUUAUAGUAGCAACUGAAGGAUACAAUUAAUAUUGUUAGAAGGAAAAUGGGAAGACCAAAUUAAGAAGUACAAGAAACAGAUUGGUUCGGUGAAAGAUAUUUUACCAGCACACACACAUAUAGAAUUAAAGAUAUUUUAGACGAAAUAUUUUUCUGUACGUAGGUAAGAGAAGCACAAGAGGUAAUGUGGAUAUGAAAGUGAAAUCCAGUGCAGAGAACAACUUUGUAACAACUGUUGCUGAAAUACCCAAAAAAGGUGAUUUUCAGCCUACUAUACCUAGCAAGGAACCUGGGAGACAUGUGUAUAAGAGAAGUAAAGUUCAUCAGCAGAAUGGUGUGCAAGUCAAAACUCAUGACAGUGAAUGACACUAUCAAGGUAUGUGCUGGAACUUAUUUCAUAUUAGAUAUGUCAAGUAAUUAUUUAGCUGAAGACCAUUCUUUGCAUGUGAUUUUUUAUGCGCUUUUUAAUUGCUGGAAGAUGUUGAGGAAAAAUAUAUCUGUAACUACUAUAAUAGUCUAUUUGCUCCAGUUUAUUUUGUGGCAGUUAGAUUAACCAUUAUCAAUAAUUCAUUUCAUGAUUUUCAGCUUUUCUAUUUGUAUUUUACGGCUAUGAAAAUUCUACUACUGCUAUUGUAUUGGUAACAGAAAGUUUUGUUAUUUUUUGAAGUAGUUCUGUCUGUAAACAGACAAGAUGAUUCCGAAACUCCUCCAUUUAAUCAAGAGAAUGCAAUGGAGUCCGCUCCACUUCAGAAAAAGGAUGGUCCGGGUAAGCUCAUUGACUGAACUAUAAUUGUGAUAUUAUGAUCUGGAAUCUUGUUAUGUUAUCCAUGAAAUUUACCUGUUAAAAAUCUCAAUCAACAUGCUGCAUCAAUUGAUAUAGGUGGUGGAGUUGGAACCCCUGCCAUUGUAGGCAUUGAUGCUAUGGAGAACGAACAGAGUUUGCCAUUUGUUAAGAAUCAUCUACUUUGUGAAGAUAUCCAUUCUAUGGAAACCUAUAAGAAAAUGACACAGAAGCCACACUUCGCCCCACUGUACGAACAUAUAGAAGAAGAACGUGAAGGCUUGGCAGUAGUGUUGGAAACGUGAUGGGUUUAGGCUUUAUCAACUUUGUAAAUUCAAAAUACACACGCCUGUAUAAUAAAACAAACAACAGAAAUUUUAUUUCAUAAACUCAAAGCUACAGCUUGAUUAUAAGAGCUUCGGCUCUUUUGUUUUCUUUUUCUGGUUUUCAAACUCA